rnacentral:rRNA from 1 species
UUUUAACGGCCGCGGUAUCCUAACCGUGCAAAGGUAGCAUAAUCACUUGUUCCUUAAUUAGGGACUUGUAUGAACGGUUAAAUGAGGGCAAAACUGUCUCCUACAGUUAAUCAAUGAACCUGAUCUUACAGUACAAACGCUGUAAUUUACUUAUAAGACGAGAAGACCCUGUGGAGCUUUAAACUUCUACAUUAAAUUAAAACUAUAUUAUAAUGUAAAAUUUUAAGUUGGGGCGACUGUGGAGUAAAAAAAAACCUCCAUGAAACUCGACUAAUCCUCGUCAUAAAGGCCAACAAGCCUAACAAAAACGUUUGACCCAAUCAUAUUGAAUACCGAACCAAGUUACCCCAGGGAUAACAGCGCCAUCCCCUUAAAGAGUUCACAUCGCCAAGGGGGUUUACGACCUCGAUGUUGGAUCAAGACUUCCCGGUGGUGUAGCCGCUACCAAAGGUUCGUUUGUUCAACGAAUAAUGUCUUACGUGAU